CACACAGGAGAACCCAGAUGGAAGCAGAAGACUUUAUACCCUGCAGGGGAGAGCUGUCAGCAUGACACUCGUGAGCUUGCCGUGGGCAAUCCUGGUCUCCAUCUGUCUUGAAGCCAGCAUGGCCCAGAGAGUCACCCAGUCUCAACUAGAAAUGUCAGUACAGGAGGCAGAGACCGCCACCCUGGACUGUACAUAUGACACACGUGAGAGUAAUUAUUAUUUGUUCUGGUACAAGCAAACUGUCAGUGGGCAGAUGAUUCCCAUUAUUCGCCAAGAAGCUUAUAAGCAAGAGAAUGCAACAGAGAAUCGCUUCUCAGUAAACUUCCAGAAAGCUGCCAAGUCCUUGGGUCUCAAGAUCUCAGACUCACAGCUGGGAGAUGCUGCUGUGUAUUUCUGUGCCCUCCAGGAGCACACAAUGAGACAAGCACCAGGGAGAGGCUGA